GACAAUGGGCGCAAGCCUGAUCCAGCCAUACCGCGUGGGUGAAGAAGGCCUUCGGGUUGUAAAGCCCUUUUGUUGGGAAAGAAAUCCAGCCGGCUAAUACCUGGUUGGGAUGACGGUACCCAAAGAAUAAGCACCGGCUAACUUCGUGCCAGCAGCCGCGGUAAUACGAAGGGUGCAAGCGUUACUCGGAAUUACUGGGCGUAAAGCGUGCGUAGGUGGUCGUUUAAGUCCGUUGUGAAAGCCCUGGGCUCAACCUGGGAACUGCAGUGGAUACUGGGCGACUAGAGUGUGGUAGAGGGUAGCGGAAUUCCUGGUGUAGCAGUGAAAUGCGUAGAGAUCAGGAGGAACAUCCAUGGCGAARGCAGCUACCUGGACCAACACUGACACUGAGGCACGAAAGCGUGGGGAGCAAACAGGAUUAGAUACCCUGGUAGUCCACGCCCUAAACGAUGCGAACUGGAUGUUGGGUGCAAUUUGGCACGCAGUAUCGAAGCUAACGCGUUAAGUUCGCCGCCUGGGGAGUACGGUCGCAAGACUGAAACUCAAAUGA
rnacentral:rRNA from 1 species